UGGGGAUAAUACCCCAUAGGUUAGGGUGGCUGGAAUGCCCCCUAGCUCAAAGGUCCGCCGCCACAGGAUGGGUCUGCGGCCGAUUAGGUUGUUGUUGGGGUAACGGCCCAACAAGCCUUUGAUCGGUACGGGUUGUGGGAGCAAGAGCCCGGAGAUGGAUUCUGAGACACGAAUCCAGGCCCUACGGGGCGCAGCAGGCACGAAAACUUUACAAUGCGAGAAAUCGUGAUAAGGGAACCCCGAGUGCCCGUAAAUUCGGGCUGUCCGCCAGUGCAAAAAACUGGUGAAGAAAGAGCCGGGCAAGACCGGUGCCAGCCGCCGCGGUAAUACCGGCGGCUCGAGUGGUGGCCACUAUUACUGGGCUUAAAGCGUCCGUAGCUUGGUUGUUAAGUCUCCUGGGAAAUCCAUCGGCUCAACCGAUGGGCGUUCAGGAGAUACUGGCAACCUAGGGACCGGGAGAGGUGAGAGGUACUCCAGGGGUAGGAGUGAAAUCCUGUAAUCCUUGGGGGACCACCUGUGGCGAAGGCGUCUCACUAGAACGGCUCCGACAGUGAGGGACGAAAGCUGGGGGAGCAAACCGGAUUAGAUACCCGGGUAGUCCCAGCUGUAAACGAUGCGCGUUAGGUGUGUCAGUGACCACGUGUCACUGAGAUGCCGAAGGGAAACCGUGAAACGCGCCGCCUGGGGAGUACGGUCGCAAGGCUGAAACUUAAAGGAAUUGGCGGGGGAGCACCACAACGGGUGGAGCCUGCGGUUUAAUCGGACUCAACGCCGGAAAUCUCACCGGAUAAGACAGCUGAAUGAUAGUCGGGAUGAAGACUCUACUUGACUAGCUGAGAGGAGGUGCAUGGCCGUCGUCAGUUCGUACUGUGAAGCAUCCUGUUUAGUCAGGCAACGAGCGAGACCCACGCCAACAAUUGCCAGCAUGACCUUCGGGUUGAUGGGGACAUCGUUGGGACCGCCUCUG
rnacentral:rRNA from 1 species